CAGCCGCCGCGGUAAUACGAAGGGGGCUAGCGUUGCUCGGAAUGACUGGGCGUAAAGGGCGCGUAGGCGGUUUUCCAAGUUAGAUGUGAAAUUCCUGGGCUUAACCUGGGGGCUGCAUUUGAUACUGGGAGGCUUGAGUGUGGAAGAGGGUCGUGGAAUUCCCAGUGUAGAGGUGAAAUUCGUAGAUAUUGGGAAGAACACCGGUGGCGAAGGCGGCGACCUGGUCCAUAACUGACGCUGAGGCGCGAAAGCGUGGGGAGCAAACAGGAUUAGAGACCCCAGUAGUCCCUGUCUCUUAUAC
rnacentral:rRNA from 1 species